AGUUCCACUCUUGAGUUAACUUGUCGCUAAUUUUUUAUGCGCAUGCUCCAAUUCCGCCAUCUUCCUGGCCAGUCAAUAGCUGGCAGCGGUAUAUAAAACUAUAUGGUAAGAUGCGAAGUGAAGACUGGAAAACGUCGAUUUUUUUCAAUUGAGGCUGUUCAAUCUGAUGCGUAAUUUAUAAAAUAGCAAAGGCAAGGAUAUUUUUCUGUGUUAUUUAAGAAGAAAACAUCCAGGAAUAUCUGCCAAUUUAAAGCUGCACUGUUUAAACGAUACCAUUAAGACCAAUAUAUUACUAUAAAUUCUAUAUAGUUAUAGUUUUAUUGAACAUGUAAUUAACAUUUUAUCAGUGGUUAGGUAGAUAAAUAUACGAUAUAUUAAUCUUGUAAAUGAUCAUAUACCAUUAUAAUGUAUCUGAGAAAUAGUGAAUUACAUAAGAGCAUACACACUGGCUGAA